rnacentral:rRNA from 1 species
UGGAACUGCAUUUGAUACUGGCAAACUAGAGUAUGGUACAGGAAUGGGGAAUUUCUGGUGUAGCGGUGAAAUGCGUAGAGAUCAGAAGGAACACCAAUGGCGAAGGCAACAUUCUGGACCAAUACUGACACUGAGGGACGAAAGCGUGGGGAUCAAACAGGAUUAGAUACCCUGGUAGUCCACGCUGUAAACGAUGAGUACUAGCUGUUGGAUUCGGUGUAAAGGAUCUAGUGGCGUAGCUAACGCGUUAAGUACUCCGCCUGGGGACUACGGCCGCAAGGCUAAAACUCAAAGGAAUUGACGGGGACCCGCACAAGCGGUGGAGCAUGUGGUUUAAUUCGAUGCAACGCGAAGAACCUUACCUGGUCUUGACAUCCUGCGAACUUUCUAGAGAUAGAUUGGUGCCUUCGGGAACGCAGUGACAGGUGCUGCACGGCUGUCGUCAGCUCGUGUUGUGAAAUGUUGGGUUAAGUCCCGCAACGAGCGCAACCCCUAUUGAUAGUUACCAUCAUUAAGUUGGGUACUCUAUUGAGACUGCCGCUGACAAGGCGGAGGAAGGUGGGGACGACGUCAAGUCAUCAUGGCCCUUACGACCAGGGCUACACACGUGCUACAAUGGGUAUUACAGAGGGCAGCGAAGUAGCGAUAUGGAGCGAAACUCAGAAAGGUACUCUUAGUCCGGAUUGCAGUCUGCAACUCGACUGCAUGAAGUCGGAAUCGCUAG